rnacentral:tRNA from 1 species
UCUUUGGUAGUAUAGUGGUUAGUAUAUCCGCCUGUCAGUUAACCCUGAACUGAACGCGGAUGACCGGGGUUCAAUUCCCCGCCAAAGAG